CAGGGGCUUUUUGCUCUGUUCUGUGUGCCUGCCAUUAGGUAGAACACUCGGUCUUGCAAAAUCAUUAAUAAAAUAUGAUUUGCUGAGAGAUCCUGCCUGGGCCUAUUAUAUUGGCAAGAUGAUAGUUUCCUACAAGGAGGCUGAUGUGUGUCUCUAGAAACAAGCACGACCAGGCAGGUAGUGCUGCUUUACUAACUGUAGAACUAAUGUUCUGGCGGCAGAAUGUAGCGUCAGCUUUUGGAACUUGUGCUUCUUUUUAAAUCUGCUGUACGGGCUGUGUGGGCCAUGCAGGGGGCGCUGCAGGAUCCCGUCAGGAGGGGCGGGGCUGCCCUGCUGGACAGAGCCGGUUCCAGCUGGUUCCAGCCGGUUCUAGGUGGUUCUAGGCGGUUCCACAGUUGAGCGCGGCAGCAAGGCUGGUGGAGUCUCUGUGGAAGUGUGUUCAGAAAAGGGGCAAAAUGCUGCCCAGGAGUGAGGGGAAAAGGUGUGAAAGAGCAGGGUGAACCCCAGGGGAAGAAGAAGAGAAGGAGGAGGAGGAAGAGGAAGGGGAAGAGGUCCAGGUGCUGUGACAGGGGUUCCCUGCACCCCUGGAGGACCCACACAGUUAUCUGAAGAACAGAAUUCUUCUGCAACAUUAAUAAUUGUGUGCUUACACUGAUUCACUGCAGCAUCAUUUGACCUCUUCAACUAUUCCUCUCCAUAGGAUGGCAGCUUAUUGCAUAGAAACACCAGUGCAAUGCACUGCACACCUGGGCCUUGAAUUAUUCCCUUUGGCUGAGUUGAAAGGAGCCUGAGAGAGUUGGUCCUUGAUUUUUCUGAGGUAAGAGGCUUUUCAUUUGUGACUCGACAUGGAUCCUGUUAUUAUUGAUUCCGCAGUACGCUUUUCAUCCUGACUGUAGGUAGUGACUGACACUGACAAUUAGUUUGGAAGAGCAGUGACGUGAGUGGUAUUUCAGUAGAAAAAAAAAGAGGCAGGGUUUGGGCUGCUUUUAACUGAACCAGCUUGUUUGCUGAAAAAUCUCCAUGGUGAGAACAUAGACGUGUACAGACCUGGCUGUGGCUUGACUGAAGCGUGCAACAUGACAAAGGCCAGCGGUCCUCUGGAGCUCGAGCUGUGUUUCACUUCCAACACUGUUAUCAGAAGGUCAGAAAGAGAGGGUCACUACUGGUUUUUAUUUGGGGAAGGCUAAGCAAAAGCCAGGAUUUCUCUCCUUAUAAGUAAUGUUUCUGAACCUGAUGCUACUAAAUGCUUGUGAAGUAGAAACCUAUAAGAAAAAAAGAAAAAUCAGAGAAGAAAAGGAGAACAUCAGAUGAGAUUAUCCUCUGGUAACAUAUGUUAUCUGAAAACUGAGGAAAGCUGCAUUGUUUGGGACUAUAUUGCAUAGAAAUACUUCCCCCGCUCUCUGGUGAUGGUUACAGCUCACAAAUAAAGACCACAGGUGUUUUCUCUUCAGGGUUUCUGUUUUUCCCUUUAUUUAGUCUGAGCUUUUCAGUUCUCAAAGAUGGAAUGGAAGCACAGCAACAUCCCACAGAGAGGAGAGAAAGGGCAAGGGAACAGGGACAGGAUAUAAAUGUCUCCAUACAAUUUAGAUUUUUCUUUUUUACCAAAUUAUGAAGAAGCAGAGCUUCUGUAUCUCAUGCACUGAUAAUUUUGAACCAGUGUUGUGGGAGUAGUCAGCAACUGCAAGGAAACAAGAUGCAAUUGAAAUUCUAUUCAUACCAGUGUGACAUACAAGGCAAUUGGAGAGUAACGUUGUAAUAAAGAAUAAAUUUCAUAGCCCCUUUUAUCCAUUAAAAUUAGUCAUUUACUUAAACAGGUUUUGGAUCAGGUCUAAAUGCCAGUACAUAUGAAACUCAUAUGUCUUCCUUUUUCAAAUGUGUGCCAAAAUUCUUUAAAGCUGGAGAAAGCUGUAUUUCUUCCCAGGCUUUCUGCUAUUUUUUUUUUUUAAUCAAAUUCAUAUAUGCAAAUAAUGAAUUUCUAAAUGUAUGGUUUGAUAUUGUAAAAGUAGGAAAAUAAAUUAAUUUGGUUAUCUUCUAAAAGGACCCUGUUGUCAAAGGAAAUUUGGCAUUUCUUUAGUAAACUGAGAAAUUAUCAUUUGAAGUCGUAGUUUAUCUGCUAUGCAUUAGGUUACCUUUAAGUAAUUAUAAAAAUCUUAACUAAUCAGCAUUUUGAACUGGAAAAUCAUUUUGAAUUGAAAAAUAAAGUGUAUAUUCUUGGAAAUGUAGCCACCAAACAUAUACUUUUUUAGCAUUCAGACUGGAAUGGUUGAGGUCUAUUCAAGAAAACUUAACGAAAAACUAAUGGUUGUUGGAUGUCUUUUUGCCAGUUUAUACCCAACUGCAGAAUUUCUCUUGAUAGUAAGAGGAUAUGAAAUGUGGACUGUUUUUCAACUUGAAAUACGAAAAAGCCCAGAGACUCUAGAAAGGAAUGCCACUGUGGAAUGAUUCAGCCAAUCUGACUUUGCUUGUAACAAAAAUCCAGCAACAUCACAUCUUGGUAUCCUUACAGAGACCCUAAGUGGAACCUGUACUUCUUUUGGGGUUAUAACAAACCUUUUGAAACCAAAGGGAUGCUCCUUUUGUUUGUCUCAUUUUCAGAAGAGCUGAGUUUUCAGAACUCAGCUGAAGCUACUGAGGAUUAGGUAACUCUGAAAGUCAGAAUCCUGGAAAAAAACUGCUAUAAGGAGGAGGAUGACUAUGUGAUGUCCUUUUGUUGAUAUAUGUUUUGUUUUCUGAAAGGAAGGUUGAUGGAAUUUACUGCUUAUCUGUUGAUGUCAUAGGAAUGGAAAGACCAUGUGUUAAAAUAUAUGACUUCUUUGCAUAUAUAUGCAUUGUGAAAAUAGGAAUUGUUUGAAAGUAGUGAACAGGUAUGCGUGGCAUCUAGUAGACAGAAUUUUAAAUUUUACAGCAAGUUACUAGGCAGCUUUUAAACUUUCCACUAUUUGUGGAUACAUUAAUUUUCUAGGCACUAUAGGAUGAUAAAAAGAUCAGGAUUUUUCUUUAUAGCCCCCGCUCUUUGACCCAAUCUGACUGUAUAUCUUGAUGUCUGGAAGCAUGAAAAGAUUCAAGGCAGGAUAUUUUCAUCUCAGGUCAACUUUCUCUGGUACUUAAUGCAUACAAAGGAGGCCUUCAGGAGGUUUCGCACACACUGGAGAGUGAUGCUGGAAAGUAUAUGCUUAUGACAGCUCUAAAUGUAACAUUUGUCACUGGGAAUCCUUCCCAGCUGUACACUAUUUUCUGUUGCAUUUCAAAGGAAAAGAAGGAAAGGAAAUUCUCAGAUGACCAACCCAGGAUGGCACUAAUGGUUUUCUCUCCCCUGGGUUUCAUGAGGCCAACUGCUGUUGAAGUUACCCAUGUAAGUGUGUUAGCCAUAAGUAUUAAUCAAUAUUUGUCCAUCUGAACUAAAAUUGAAUUAAUAGCAGCCUUUAAAAUAGAGAUCUGUCUCCCAUUAUAUACCUUUUUUUAAUUUUAUGUUUGUCAUCCACUGAUAGUGAUGGAUAUUUAUGUACACAGUUUUCUUUGCAUUUCUCACCACCUGUCUUUUGCCCCUAUUAAUUCAUAAUAACAUGAUUAUUAGUCACAAUAAUAGCUGGAGUAACUGAUUGUGCUGCUGGAAUGGAGGUUAUACCAAUUUUUCUGUAAUAAGCUGUUUUUUUUUUUUUCCUUUCCUUUCUCUUCUCUCUCAAGGCUGUAACUCAGCCAUGAAGCAGCUAAGAGUGAGGCAGCAGAAGGUCAUAAUUUGGGAAAGCUUUUUAUUUUUAAAGAAAUAUUGAUACAAUGGAAUGACUGUUUUGAAAUUAAAAUGAGGCAACAGGCACUUUUUUUUGUUGUUGUUUCUUCUUUUGGAUGAAUUUUGUGUCUCAGCCUAAUAAUGGCUUUUUUUUAAGCAGAAAAGAAAAAGUGACUUUUUCAGCAUGAAAUGCUGUAAUGCAGGUUGCUUCAAAAAUAAAAUGGAUGGCUAUGGAAGUAAGUUUUUGGGGAGAGAGAUGAAUGGAAUUAUUAUGUUAUUAAAAAGUAAAUUUGGAAAUAGGAGAGAUAUCUGCAUUUAAACAUAGUUACGCAGCUGGCAGUUCGGCAGGGAAGGCUCUGAAAUCCAGGAAGACUGAGGAACAACUGUUCCAGCAUCUUUACAGAAACCUCUGAUUCCUUUGCUCUCCUUUUAGAGAGGAAAUGCAACAUUUAUCCAUUUAGACUUUGGUAGAGCAGCCUCAGGUGUCCAGUGCUGGGCUGGUUUUGUACUUCUGUUAAGCAAGGUAUGUUACACAAAUCUCUAAACCCUGGUUCUGAUCAGUGGGGCUGGAGGUUGGGACGUGGGCUCCUGGUGGCAGUUACAGCCAUGGCUGGUGCUCUGUGGUAUUGCAGAAUUACUGUAUCUGUCUUCUCCUCUUUAAAUGCAACUUUUGUAAUGCUUCAGUGAAUCCUACAGCUGUAAAAGGUACCAGCAUGGCACCACUAAAACACAGAAAUUAAACUUCUCAGCUGGCCGAAGUUCUUAUGGAUUCAGUGGCUCCUGAGAAGCCACAGCUGUUUACAGAAGCUAUUUAUUAAUAUCUGCAGGCAAGCAGAGGAACUGCAGAGGCAGAGCAAUUAUGUUAUGAGCUCGUCCGUUCUCAACAACUCGUACCAAGAAGUUUAUGAAGGGAAGAGUAAGGACAACUGUGUGUCUCAGUGUGGUUGGAUCCUGCUGAGAUGCCCAGCUGAAGUGCUAGAGGUAAAAAGAAUGUUUUGUUGUAGGCUGGAAUAUUGUUGGUUUUCUCUUUUUUCCUUGGUAAGGACUUAGUACAUUUUAGGACAGCUGAUUUGUUGGCUGGGGCACUGAUGCCAGAAUAUAAAAGUAAAUAACAUUUUGCCUGUCCUCAAUUUAAGAUGCAUUUUUGCUUUCUCACCUGUAUUGGUUAUGGCUUUUUCUCAAACACCAGGAGAUCUCCAGAAGACCACAUCCUCCUGACUACUGCCACCGUGCCUGAGUGCGUCUGAAUUUCCUUGCUCUUCUUUUGAAAAUACUCAUUUUCAAAGAUAUUUUUAUAUUGGAGAUGGCUCAUGCAGAAAGCCCUAAUGAUCUUUUUUGAGGCAGACUGUGGUAAUUCACACAGUAUCCUGUCCAUCCCAUCCUCUGCUUCAUGGGUCUUCUAGCUUAUAGAAAUGCCUCUUCAGAUUUCUGGGUGUUGUGAGCAUCAGGUGACACACAGCUGAUACAUUUUCCAUUCAGAAAACCAGUGUCUUGUCUGCGCAGGGUCCCAUUUUUUUCAUAAUUCAGCAUGAGAUAAUUGGUUUUCUGCAUAAAAUACCUGCAUGUUUCUAAAACAAACAAAAAAUACUUUACGGACCAGAAGGCUUUGCUAAUCAGUGUGUAAUGUGCAAUAUAAAAGCAUUUGCUAGCUGUUGCUCCUGGAAAAUCUGAAGGCUGAAAGAAUUACACCAUAACUACAGAGCCUGAACAGUUUUGUUUGGUUUCCUUUCUUUUUCAUAUAUUUCAUUAUGCUUCCCAUUAUUCAGACAUGCAGAACAAACCAGGAUAAAUGGCUGGAAGCCUAAAUCACCAGUGAAGAGAAAUGGUAUUUCUCUUUAUUCUGCAAAAGGCAGAUGAAGGAAUAAUACCUUAAAAAUUGCAUUUUGGUAAUGUCUUAUUUUUCUCACUGUUCCUAUGUUUCCCUUCUGAUUCCACGGAGAAAUCUGUUCAUUGAUUUUUAUUUUUUUUAAAGUUUCUUAACCUGGAACCUCUGUCUGUACACAGUCUGCACACAGCUUCAUGUACAGGCACCAUCCCACCCCUCCUCCCAGGUACCAUUUCUCUGUCCUUAACUGCA